GGAAUUUUGGACAAUGGGCGCAAGCCUGAUCCAGCCAUGCCGCGUGAGUGAAGAAGGCCUUCGGGUUGUAAAGCUCUUUCGGCCGGAACGACAUCGUCCGGGCUAAUACCCUGGAUGGAUGACGGUACCGGAAUAAGAAGCACCUGCUCACUACGUGCCAGCAGCCGCGGUAAUACGUAGGGUGCAGGCGUUAAUCGGAAUUACUGGGCGUAAAGCGUGCGCAGGCGGCUUCCUAAGUCAAAUGUGAAAUCCCCGGGCUUAACCUGGGAACUGCGUUUGAAACUGGGAGGCUAGAGUGCGGCAGAGGGGGGUGGAAUUCCACGUGUAGCAGUGAAAUGCGUAGAUAUGUGGAGGAACACCGAUGGCGAAGGCAGCCCCCUGGGCCAGCACUGACGCUCAUGCACGAAAGCGUGGGGAGCAAAC
rnacentral:rRNA from 1 species